CCAGGGAAGCCGCUGCGGGCUUGCUUGCACUGACUGCACAAAAUCACUGGUGCCAAAAACUCAGGGAUAGCUGAUGAGCGCGGUGUCACGACGCUCCGGGAAACAAAGAAAGAAAAUAAUCUUCUAGAUGAAUUCUGUCGAUGGAUUGAUGGUAAAGAAAGGGGACGUGCUGUACCUGCA